rnacentral:SRP_RNA from 1 species
GCCGGGCACGGUGGCUUGUGCCUGUAAUCCAAGCUCCGGGGAGGCUGAGGCUGGCGGAUCGCUGAGCCCGGGGGUUCUGGGCUGCAGGGAGCUGUGCCGAGCGGGCGUCCAAGCUAAGGCCGGCAUCGAUAUGGUGGCCCUGGGGGAGCCGGGGGCCACCAGGUCGCCUAAGGAGGGGUGAACCGGCCCAGGUCGGAGACGGAGCAGGUCAAAGCUCCCGUGGCGGUCAGUAGCGGGACCGCGCCUGUGAACAGACCCUGCAGCGCAGCCCGGGUGACAGGACGGGACCCAGCCUCUU